rnacentral:tRNA from 1 species
AUUCAUAUAGCUUAUAUAGAGUUUAAUAUUGAAGAUAUUAAGGAAAAUAAUUUAUUUUAUGAAUA